rnacentral:rRNA from 1 species
UGGGGAAUAUUGCACAAUGGGCGCAAGCCUGAUGCAGCCAUGCCGCGUGUAUGAAGAAGGCCUUCGGGUUGUAAAGUACUUUCAGCGGGGAGGAAGGGAGUAAAGUUAAUACCUUUGCUCAUUGACGUUACCCGCAGAAGAAGCACCGGCUAACUCCGUGCCAGCAGCCGCGGUAAUACGGAGGGUGCAAGCGUUAAUCGGAAUUACUGGGCGUAAAGCGCACGCAGGCGGUUUGUUAAGUCAGAUGUGAAAUCCCCGGGCUCAACCUGUGAACUGCAUCUGAUACUGGCAAGCUUGAGUCUCGUAGAGGGGGGUAGAAUUCCAGGUGUAGCGGUGAAAUGCGUAGAGAUCUGGAGGAAUACCGGUGGCGAAGGCGGCCCCCUGGACGAAGACUGACGCUCAGGUGCGAAAGCGUGGGGAGCAAACAGG